rnacentral:rRNA from 1 species
GACGAACGCUGGCGGCGUGCCUAAUACAUGCAAGUAGAACGCUGAAGGAGGAGCUUGCUUCUCCGGAUGAGUUGCGAACGGGUGAGUAACGCGUAGGUAACCUGCCUGGUAGCGGGGGAUAACUAUUGGAAACGAUAGCUAAUACCGCAUAAGAGUAGAUGUUGCAUGACAUUUGCUUAAAAGGUGCAAUUGCAUCACUACCAGAUGGACCUGCGUUGUAUUAGCUAGUUGGUGAGGUAACGGCUCACCAAGGCGACGAUACAUAGCCGACUGAGAGGGUGAUCGGCCACACUGGGACUGAGACACGGCCCAGACUCCUACGGGAGGCAGCAGUAGGGAAUCUUCGGCAAUGGACGGAAGUCUGACCGAGCAACGCCGCGUGAGUGAAGAAGGUUUUCGGAUCGUAAAGCUCUGUUGUAAGAGAAGAACGAGUGUGAGAGUGGAAAGUUCACACUGUGACGGUAUCUUACCAGAAAGGGACGGCUAACUACGUG